GUCUCACAGUGGGAGAAGUCACCAGGGGCAUCAGUGGGCAGACCCAGCUCCACCACAGCAGCACUCAUGUAGGACUUAGGUGUUGGCCAUGGCUGCAGCAAAUGCUCUCCUCCUAGCUUCGGUGGCCAGAGAGAUCAUCCAGCCUGGCCAGAAGAAGUGUCACCACAUCAGCAGAGCCACGGCCAAACAGAUGCUGGAGCGUGAGGUGUAUCUGCACCAGGAGUUGAUUAAUUUGCUGCAAGAGAUUGAGAAUAGCAAGAUUGCAGAGGAAGGCUGGUUCUUUUCUGGGUGGCUGUUUUGGACUGCUGUAAUUGCCCUGGUCCUGCUUGCUGUCAUCUGCUGGCUGGUCAGGCGAAAAAGGAAGCGUCAGGCGUCUCCUCAAUCAAUUAGAGUCUUCUGUCCUGAUCUCCCGGAAGACAUUGCUGAGAUUGAAAUUGGAUUAAGUGUUUAUGACCACAAUCGCACCAGGCGCAACAACUUGACCUUGGAUGCGCCCAGAUCUUAAGUUUGUCCAGGUUGUCUGGAUGACAUCCCUUGCUUCCAUCGUGUCAACUGCUUCAUUAAUGUUUCUUUGGUUCCAUCUAGAACUAAGGGAGUCACAUUAAAAUUUGGGAAAGCAAG